UACGUAGGGUGCGAGCGUUAAUCGGAAUUACUGGGCGUAAAGCGUGCGCAGGCGGCGCCAUAAGACAGAUGUGAAAUCCCCGGGCUCAACCUGGGAACUGCGUUUGUGACUGUGGUGCUCGAGUGCGGCAGAGGGGGGUGGAAUUCCACGUGUAGCAGUGAAAUGCGUAGAGAUGUGGAGGAACACCGAUGGCGAAGGCAGCCCCCUGGGCCAAUACUGACGCUCAUGCACGAAAGCGUGGGGAGCAAACAGG
rnacentral:rRNA from 1 species